rnacentral:rRNA from 1 species
GAUGAACGCUGGCGGCGUGCUUAACACAUGCAAGUCGAACGAGAAGUGAAGACGGAAACCUUCGGGCGGAAGGCUUUAUUUCGAGUGGCGGACGGGUGAGUAACGCGUGGGUAACCUGCCUCAUACAGGGGGAUAACAGUUGGAAACGACUGUUAAUACCGCAUAAGACCACAGCACCGCAUGGUGCGGGGGUAAAAACUCCGGUGGUAUGAGAUGGACCCGCGUUCGAUUAGCCAGUUGGCGGGGUAACGGCCCACCAAAGCGACGAUCGAUAGCCGAUCUGAGAGGAUGACCGGCCACAUUGGGACUGAGACACGGCCCAAACUCCUACGGGAGGCAGCAGUGGGAAUAUUGCACAAUGGGGGAAACCCUGAUGCAGCGACGCCGCGUGAGUGAAGAAGUAUUUCGGUAUGUAAAGCUCUAUCAGCAGGGAAGAAAAUGACGGUACCUGAGUAAGAAGCCCCGGCUAACUACGUG